UGGUUCUGGCAUCGAUGAAGAACGCAGCGAAAUGCGAUAAGUAAUGUGAAUUGCAGAAUUCAGUGAAUCAUCGAAUCUUUGAACGCACAUUGCGCCCCUUGGUAUUCCGAGGGGCAUGCCUGUUCGAGCGUCGUUUAAACAAUCAAGCAUCGCUUGGUGUUGGGUGGCGGUCCGGCAGGACCCCCUCGUAACCCGUUAGGCGGGACCGUCCGGCUCUAAGCGUAGCAAGACAAUCGCUUCGGGGCUCCGGCGGCCUUUGCCUCGGAACCACAUCCAAAGUUUGACCUCGGAUCAGGUAGGGAUACCCGCUGA
rnacentral:misc_RNA from 1 species